UUUGUACUCCCUCCGUCCCAAAAUUCUUGUCUUAAAUUUGUCUAAAUACGGAUGUAUCUAGUUACAUUUUAUUGUUAGAUACAUCUGUAUCUAAACAAAUGUAAGACAAGAAUUUUGGGACGGAGGGAAUACUAC
rnacentral:pre_miRNA from 1 species